AUUGUGCCUCUUAGUGUUCCCAGGUGGUGUGGGUUUUCCAUCUGAGUUAGGAGGUAACAAAGAAAAGAUGGGAGAAGUCAACAGUUACUUUCCUUUCAAG